UAGAGUCUUGAUCAUGGCUCAGAAGUCGUAACAAGGUAACCGUAAGUCGUAACAAGGAAACCGUAGAGUUUGAUCAUGGCUCAGGAAAGUCAUAACAAGGUAACCGUAGAGUUUGAUCAUGGCUCAGGAGAGUCGCAACAAGGUAACCGUAGAGUUUGAUCCUGGCUCAGGAAAGUCGUAACAAGGUAGCCGUAA
rnacentral:rRNA from 1 species